GAUGAACGCUGGCGGCGUGCCUAAUACAUGCAAGUCGAGCGAACGGACGAGAAGCUUGCUUCUCUGAUGUUAGCGGCGGACGGGUGAGUAACACGUGGAUAACCUACCUAUAAGACUGGGAUAACUUCGGGAAACCGUAGCUAAUACCGGAUAAUAUUUUGAACCGCAUGGUUCAAAAGUGAAAGACGGUCUUGCUGUCACUUAUAGAUGGAUCCGCGCUGCAUUAGCUAGUUGGUAAGGUAACGGCUUACCAAGGCAACGAUGCAUAGCCGACCUGAGAGGGUGAUCGGCCACACUGGAACUGAGACACGGUCCAGACUCCUACGGGAGGCAGCAGUAGGGAAUCUUCCGCAAUGGGCGAAAGCCUGACGGAGCAACGCCGCGUGAGUGAUGAAGGUCUUCGGAUCGUAAAACUCUGUUAUUAGGGAAGAACAUAUGUGUAAGUAACUGUGCACAUCUUGACGGUACCUAAUCAGAAAGCCACGGCUAACUACGUGCCAGCAGCCGCGGUAAUACGUAGGUGGCAAGCGUUAUCCGGAAUUAUUGGGCGUAAAGCGCGCGUAGGCGGUUUUUUAAGUCUGAUGUGAAAGCCCACGGCUCAACCGUGGAGGGUCAUUGGAAACUGGAAAACUUGAGUGCAGAAGAGGAAAGUGGAAUUCCAUGUGUAGCGGUGAAAUGCGCAGAGAUAUGGAGGAACACCAGUGGCGAAGGCGACUUUCUGGUCUGUAACUGACGCUGAUGUGCGAAAGCGCGGGGAUCAAACAGGAUUAGAUACCCUGGUAGUCCACGCCGUAAACGAUGAGUGCUAAGUGUUAGGGGGUUUCCGCCCCUUAGUGCUGCAGCUAACGCAUUAAGCACUCCGCCUGGGGAGUACGACCGCAAGGUUGAAACUCAAAGGAAUUGACGGGGACCCGCACAAGCGGUGGAGCAUGUGGUUUAAUUCGAAGCAACGCGAAGAACCUUACCAAAUCUUGACAUCCUUUGACAACUCUAGAGAUAGAGCCUUCCCCUUCGGGGGACAAAGUGACAGGUGGUGCAUGGUUGUCGUCAGCUCGUGUCGUGAGAUGUUGGGUUAAGUCCCGCAACGAGCGCAACCCUUAAGCUUAGUUGCCAUCAUUAAGUUGGGCACUCUAAGUUGACUGCCGGUGACAAACCGGAGGAAGGUGGGGAUGACGUCAAAUCAUCAUGCCCCUUAUGAUUUGGGCUACACACGUGCUACAAUGGACAAUACAAAGGGCAGCGAAACCGCGAGGUCAAGCAAAUCCCAUAAAGUUGUUCUCAGUUCGGAUUGUAGUCUGCAACUCGACUACAUGAAGCUGGAAUCGCUAGUAAUCGUAGAUCAGCAUGCUACGGUGAAUACGUUCCCGGGUCU
rnacentral:rRNA from 1 species